rnacentral:rRNA from 1 species
CCUACGGGAGGCAGCAGUGAGGAAUAUUGGUCAAUGGCCGGAAGGCUGAACCAGCCAUGCCGCGUGAAGGUCAGUGCCCUAUGGGCGUUAAACUUCUUUUGUGCGGGAGCAAUAUUGGUCACGUGUGGCCAGACGAGAGUACCGUACGAAUAAGCAUCGGCUAAAUCCGUGCCAGCAGCCGCGGUAAUACGGGGGAUGCAAUCGUUAUCCGGAUUAAUUGGGUUUAAAGGGUGCGUAGGCGGUGAGGUAAGUCAGCGGUGAAAUGCCCCGGCUCAACGGGGUGACGUGCCAUUGAUACUGGCUUGCUGGAAUGCGGAUGCGGUGGGAGGAAUGUGUGGUGUAGCGGUGAAAUGCAUAGAUAUCACACAGAACACCGAUUGCGAAGGCAUCUCACGAAUCCGCGAUUGACGCUGAUGCACGAAAGCGUGGGUAUCAAACAGGAUUAGAUACCCUGGUAGUC